UGAUAGAAUUUUAACUGGUACCAUAGUCUGC
rnacentral:piRNA from 1 species